CAGUAGCCGCGGUAAUACGUAGGGGGCAAGCGUUGUCCGGAAUUAUUGGGCGUAAAGCGCGUGUAGGCGGCUCAGCAAGUCCGCUCUGAAAGCCCAGGGCUCAACCCUGGGAUGCGGGUGGAUACUGCUGAGCUCGAGUCCGGAAGAGGCGAGUGGAAUUCCUGGUGUAGCGGUGAAAUGCGCAGAUACCAGGAGGAACACCAAUAGCGAAGGCAGCUCGCUGGGACGUGACUGACGCUGAGACGCGAAAGCGUGGGGAGCAAACAGGAUUAGAUACCCCCGUAGUCCCUGUCUCUUAUAC
rnacentral:rRNA from 1 species